AGUCUGACGGAGCAACGCCGCGUGAGUGAUGAAGGUUUUCGGAUCGUAAAACUCUGUUGUUAGGGAAGAACAAGUACGAGAGUAACUGCUCGUACCUUGACGGUACCUAACCAGAAAGCCACGGCUAACUACGUGCCAGCAGCCGCGGUAAUACGUAGGUGGCAAGCGUUGUCCGGAAUUAUUGGGCGUAAAGCGCGCGCAGGCGGUCCUUUAAGUCUGAUGUGAAAGCCCACGGCUCAACCGUGGAGGGUCAUUGGAAACUGGGGGACUUGAGUGCAGAAGAGAAGAGUGGAAUUCCACGUGUAGCGGUGAAAUGCGUAGAGAUGUGGAGGAACACCAGUGGCGAAGGCGACUCUUUGGUCUGUAACUGACGCUGAGGCGCGAAAGCGUGGGGAGCAAACAGGAUUAGAUACCCUGGUAGUCCACGCCGUAAACGAUGAGUGCUAAGUGUUAGAGGGUUUCCGCCCUUUAGUGCUGCAGCAAACGCAUUAAGCACUCCGCCUGG
rnacentral:rRNA from 1 species